rnacentral:rRNA from 1 species
UAGGGAAUAUUGCUCAAUGGGCGAAAGCCUGAAGCAGCAACGCCGCGUGCGCGAUGAAGGUCUUCGGAUCGUAAAGCGCUUUUCUGCGAGAUGAGAAAGGACAGUAUCGUAGGAAUAAGUCUCGGCUAACUACGUGCCAGCAGCCGCGGUAACACGUAGGAGGCGAGCGUUAUCCGGAUUCACUGGGCGUAAAGCGCGUGCAGGCGGUUUGGUAAGUUGGGCGUGAAAGCUCCCGGCUCAACUGGGAGAGGUCGUUCAAUACUACCAAACUUGAGAGUAGAAGAGGAAGAUGGAAUUCCCGGUGUAGUGGUGAAAUGCGUAGAUAUCGGGAGGAACACCAGUGGCGAAGGCGAUCUUCUGGUCUAUUUCUGACGCUCAGACGCGACAGCUAGGGUAGUAAAC